rnacentral:rRNA from 1 species
UACUAUGCCUAACCGUAACAAAACAAUUAAAUAACCAAUUGUUCGCCAAAUAACUACGAGUACAAACUUAAAAUUUAAAAGACUUGACGGUGCUUCACAACAACCUAGAGGAGCCUGUCUAAUAACCGAUACUCCACGAUUAACCCAACCCACCCUAGCCUAUCAGUCUAUAUACCGCCGUCGCCAGCUUACCUUGUGAAAGAAACAAAGUAAACCCAACAAGCCACCCCUAACACGACAGGUCGAGGUGUAACAUAUGAGUGGGUAAAAGAUGGGCUACAUUUUCUAAAACAGAAAAUACGAACAGACUAUGAAACUAGAAAUUGAAGGCGGAUUUAGCAGUAUGUUAAGGACAAAACGCUUAACUGAAACUAAUGCAAUGAAGUGCGUACACACCGCCCGUCAUCCCUGUCACAAACAAUAAAAAAUUAAUAUAUACACAUUCCUUUUUUAAAGCAGGGCAAGUCGU